rnacentral:sRNA from 1 species
UCCUUAUUCCGAUUAAAAUGAAAAUCCUUAUAAGGCUCUUCUUUUCGGACGAGACUAUAAGAUUGAAAUGGAAAGUGGGACAAUAC